rnacentral:rRNA from 1 species
GCUGAAAACCUAGCCUAACUUUUAUAUACAUUCAACCUAUCUACAUCUCAACUUUAACUAAAACAUUCUUUCAUAUUAGUAAAGGCGAUUGAAAAUUUCUAAGAGCCAUAGCAACAGUACCGCAAGGGAAAAGUGAAAUAAAAAUGAAAUAAAUCUAAAGCAAAACAAAGUAGAGAUUUAACCUCGUACCUUUUGCAUCAUGAUCUAGCAAGUCCGCCCAAGCAAAAAGCAUUUAAGUUUGACUUCCCGAAACUAAACGAGCUACUUCAAAACAGCCUUCCCAGGGCCAACUCAUCUCUGUUGCAAAAGAGUGAGAAGAUUUUCAAGUAGUGGUGAUAAACCUACCGAGCUUAGAGAUAGCUGGUUAUUCAGGAAAAAGAUUUUAGUCUAACCUUAAGUUUUUCUUACAUCUCAAUAUUUUCUUAAACUUAAGAGCCAUUCAAAUAAGGUACAGCCUAUUUGAAACAGGAUACAACCUAAGACACAGGGUAAUGAAUUAAAUAAGUGACUAAGUGGGCCUAAAAGCAGCCAACUUAAAAAAGCGUUAAAGCUUCAUCACUCCUUUUAUUAAAUUCCAAUUUUAACACAAAGCCCUUCAUCAUUACUGAAUGAUUUUAUACUCUAUAAAACCCAUUAUGCUAGAACUAGUAACAAGAAACAGAUUUUCUCUAAAAUGUAAGCGUAAGCCAACAUGAACAACUCAUUGGCAUUUAUCGUCCCCGAAUCUUCAGUAACAACAAACUUCAAGAAAACUUUACUAUAAGUCUACGUUAACCUUACACUAGAACAUUUCAAGAAAGAUUAAAAGAAAAGGAAGGAACUCGGCAAAUAAUAAUCUCGCCUGUUUACCAAAAACAUCGCCUCUUGAUACACCUAUAAGAGGUCCAGCCUGCCCAGUGACCAAGUUAAACGGCCGCGGUACCCUAACCGUGCGAAGGUAGCGCAAUCACUUGUUCUUUAAAUAAGGACUAGUAUGAACGGCAUCACGAGGAUUAUACUGUCUCCCUUUUCCAAUCAGUGAAACUGAUCCCCCCGUGAAGAAGCGGGGAUACACUUAUAAGACGAGAAGACCCCAUGGAGCUUUAAACUCAAUAACAACUGCCUUGCACAUAUCAAAAUAAUUAGGCAAGAGUGAUUAUUAGUUUUCGGUUGGGGUGACCACGGAGCAAAACAAAACCUCCAUGAUGAAAAGAACAUCAUUCUUUAUUUAAGAGUUACUACUCUAAAAAUCAAUAAAUUGACAUUCCUUGAUCCAAACUUUUUGAUCAACGAACUAAGUUACCCUGGGGAUAACAGCGCAAUCCAUUUCAAGAGCUCCUAUCGACAAAUGGGUUUACGACCUCGAUGUUGGAUCAGGGUAUCCCAGUGGUGCAGCCGCUACUAAUGGUUCGUUUGUUCAACGAUUAAAACCCUACGUGAUCUGAGUUCAGACCGGAGAAAUCCAGGUCGGUUUCUAUCUAUAAAGAGUUCUUCCUAGUACGAAAGGACCGGAAUGACAUGGCCAAUAUUCUAAUAAGCCAUAACUGUAAACUAGUGAGUCCCACUUAAUUAGUCCCAGCCUAAAUAAAAUUGCUAAACAAGUAAU